CAUUAAUCAACUAUUUGAUUUCUUAUGGCAGUAAUAGAGAAUUCUAAAUUGAGUGAACUCACAAGGUAAGAUGUCAACCUUCAGUUUGUGUUUGCAAGUACUAUAUAUUAGUACAAACUACAUAAACAACACCCUCCCGAUGUCAACACUUGUGAGUGGCUUAAAAGAUGAUCUAUAAGUCAGUGGGAAAGACAUUUGAGCCAGGAGGGUGGGUUUGAGCAUUGCUGUAGAGCUGUUCAGCUUUUCAAAGGAAACAAUCUCAAUGGCGUACAAUAGAUGUGCCAAAACACAAGACCUCAUCAGGAGAUAUGGACAAGAUUAUACCAGGAUGGAUUGAAGGAAACUUUAGGUGAAAUUACAUUAAGGAUGCGGCCUUCAUAAUCGGAAGCUGUAAGAGGAUCCGUAGAUAAAGAAGCAUCUAUCCAUCAACCCUGGAAGUGUGAAUCCUUGAUGUCUGUCAGGUUGGUUGUAACACAAGAAUUCUAUCAGCAGUAACUAAAAUGGCAUUUUUUAAAAUUUUUAUUUUGAUUUGAUUUCAAAUUAAAUGAUUAUUAUGUUA